CUAGAAUUUCUAUUGACCAGCGCUUAAUUGCGCGGCGAUAAACCUUACACACAUUGUCUAGUUUUUUUGAACUUUGCUUUGGGUGCAUCAGCCUAGCUGCGUGCCCAAAGGUCUAAACACAUUUUUUUAAUGUUAAAACCUUUAACCAAUAGUCAUGAAAAUUUUUAACAAAAAUUAAAAUCUUCAAAACUUUCAACAACGGAUCUCUUGGUUCUCGCAACGAUGAAGAACGCAGCGAAAUGCGAUACGUAUUGUGAAUUGCAGAUUUUCGUGAAUCAUCGAAUCUUUGAACGCACAUUGCACCCUCUGGUAUUCCAGAGGGUAUGCCUGUUUGAGCGUCAUUUCUCUCUCAAACCUUCGGGUUUGGUAUUGAGUGAUACUCUGUCAAGGGUUAACUUGAAAUAUUGACUUAGCAAGAGUGUACUAAUAAGCAGUCUUUCUGAAAUAAUGUAUUAGGUUCUUCCAACUCGUUAUAUCAGCUAGGCAGGUUUAGAAGUAUUUUAGGCUCGGCUUAACAACAAUAAACUAAAAGUUUGACCUCAAAUCAGUUCGAAUGGCCAA
rnacentral:rRNA from 1 species